rnacentral:lncRNA from 1 species
AGAGUGUGCUGAAGGUACACAGUGUAGAGGUUCUCAGCCCAAGCUUCAAGUCCAGGGCCAGACCUUUUCCAGAUCUACAGGGAUUUUCAUUUCUGUAGUAUUUGUGUCUGUCCUCCCUACCCAUCUGUCCCCCGCGCAGCCCCAGGGAGGCCCCACCACUCCACCUGCCGCAGCUCCGCUGCACCGCCGCUUGCUCCGCAGCUUGCUCCUCCCCUAUGUGGGCAGUGACCCUGUGCUCACCCAGUCCUGACUUCAACCUGAGCUUCCCUCACUCAGCAGCCUUCUUCCUCCUGGAAUCAAGGUACCCUCCUCCAUUUGCAGUGUGACAUGUACUCCUGGAUUCAGGAAAAUUCAUCAGAAAGAAACAGCAGACUGCUGCUUUGAUUGUGUUCAGUGCCCAGAAAAUGAGGUUUCCAAUGAAACAGAACCCAUUUGCUUUUGGAGGAUAAAAAGUAGUGAAUAUAAUGAUGAAAAUUUGCAAAGUGAGUGUGGUUAUUUCCUUUGGACCAUGAAGAAACUUAUGAAAGAUGAUUUUUAUAAUGUAAGAUUGGAUUUUAGAAUGCCAGCAAGAGAAUACGAGUUUGUUCUGGUAAUGUUUUUUGCUACUGAUGAGAUCAACAAGAAUCCUGAUCUUUUACCAAACACAUCUUUGGUAUUCUCUGUCAUGGCUGAUAAAUGUCAAGAUUCAUUGGGAAUUCUGGAUUUAAAAUAUAUGCUAGUAAAUGACACUCUGAAUUAUGUUAAUUAUGUCUGUGAAGCAGAUGAUUCAUGUGCCAUAGGCCUUACAGGACCAUCAUGGAAAGCAUCCUUAAAACUGGCAAUUGAUACUUGGGCACCAAAGGUAAGAUUAUGUGACACUGAAUGAGUUAACAACAUUAAAUUCCAUUUACAGGUGACUACAAGAAAAGUUGGACAGCAUGAAUUUAUGAGUGUGCUGCCACACACACACACACACACACACACACACACACACACACACACACACACACCCCAUGUUACUUGUUAUUUGGUAAUCAUUUUUUUCUAGCACAUUUUAUCAUCAAACAUUAAUAUAAAGUGUAUAAAGUUUCAAUUAUCUGUGAAGUAUAUUAUAUUUUACUACACGCGGGAUUAUUUCAAUACAGCUGUCUUUUCUGAAAAUUGUUGAGAAAUUAGGGGAAAUUCUCAACUUUGCACUCCCUUUUUUGAUAUACAUAUGUAUGCAUGCAUCUUUUUUAGUUGGCUCCCUUGCUGAAAACUAGGGUAUUUACUAACCCUGUUGGAGAAAUGGUGAACAUGAAUCAUAGGGAAUAUCAGUGUGCAGAGUAUGACAUUUUCAUCAUUUGGAAUUUUCCACAAGGCCUUGGAUUAAAAGUGAAAAUAGGAAGCUAUUUUCCUUGUUUCCCACAGAGUCAACAACUUCAUAUAUCUGAAGAUUUGGAAUGGGCCACAGGAGGAACAUCAGUGGGUACCCUCCUCCAUGUGCAGUGUGACAUGUACUCCUGGAUUCAGGAAAAUUCAUCAGAAAGAAACAGCAGACUGCUGCUUUGAUUGUGUUCAGUGCCCAGAAAAUGAGGUUUCCAAUGAAACAGGUGAUGGAUUUUAAUCUCUUUGUGCAGUGUUGACCAUUUGAAUCUACACCACUUUUAUCUGUCUUCAUCAAGUGUGUCUUUCUCUCUGUCUCUCAUGCACAGUUCUCUCUUGAACAACCAGUCAGUAAUCAACAUUCCAUAACCUUAUCCUCUUAAGAGACAUCAAGCCUAAACAGGAGCCAAAAAGAUGCUGGAUGGGACUCCACCCCGGAAUUCCAUUCCGACCACACCUGGACCUAAAAGGAAUCUGCCUGCAGUUGUAUCUUCCUGUCUUUGUAUCUUUCUACAAGCUGGCUCAUAGUGUAGCUGCCUCUGAUCCUUUAGAUCUGUGAAACUCCUUAUACAAUUCAUAUUGCAUCCUUAUAUUUUUGCGUAGUUGAGAAAUUAGGUUUGAACUCAUGUCUUUAGAGUUCUUUUCCACAGCCUUAAGGCCCCAGGGUUUACCAUUUUGCUAAAGACAGACACACCCUCGACUCCUGGACUGCAGUUUCUAAUUAUCAUGGAGUCAUUAUCAGGGUGGACUUUCAUCAAAGGAAUGUGAAAAUAUGUACAUUAGUAUGCAAACAAUCCUUAUGCCCAUACCAGUCAUCUACACUUGUGGAGUCCCAAGCCUACUGGCCCUGUUCCAGGGGCAGGAACCAUGUCAUUCCACCCCUACUGAGGCCAUACUGGACCCAGCACUACCCAAUAGCCAGAUCAUAGACUAAAGUUUAAGGGAGUCAGCUGCAGGGUUCACCAUUAUGAAGAAGGACCUGAUUCAGGCAGGAUGAGUAAUUUUGUAAUUUUCCAGUAUGUAUUAAUUCAUGCAUGUGAAUAAAAACAGAAUAGAUUGGUGGGUGUACACUUUGGGUAGGGUAGCUUGAGCCAGAGAAUAUUGAAUUUCUAAUUAAGGGGCUGUCUCUUAUGUAGCUAUGUGUAAUCCUUGUUGACACAGUUAAGUCAGCUCAGAAAUUUGAAACACAUGCCAUUGGCUGUAGCUGUGUGUGUCAUGUUACAGAUCUCAGCAGCUAACAUUGUACAUAGUGGCAAGGUGAAACUAUAUCUUAUUGAUGCCAUUCCAUCUACCAGAGAAGGCCUGUUCUUUUUCAAAGUCAGUAUACCUAUGUGUUUUUUUCUAUUUGAUUUUUCAAUUAUAUUACUCUUUGCUACUGAUGCUCUUCUGUAACUUCAAUUGAGAAUGUGGAAGAAUGAGGUGAAUAAAUUGGCUAUAGUUCAAAGGUUCGCUGAAGAUAGUAACUUAAAUUUUGCCUAAUUUCCAAUAAUAUACCAUGAAUUUUCUGGUACUAUAUUUUAGGCUGCAAUUGGGCAGACCAUAAUAUUGAAGGACAUUGUCAGAGUUCCAGAAGAUAUGAAAGGUUAUUUUCAUGUGCAAGCUGAUACAAAUAUGCUUCUGAAGAAAUUUUGAUGUGUCCUGCCUGGAAAUUUUAAAGAAAAGCAACAGGG